UUUUGUACUCAGUGUUCGUUAUGGGCAAAUGAGUCCUUGCCGUAAAAGAGUGCCAUUUCUCAUGGUGCUUCAGUCCCGUUAGAAGGAAAAAGUGAUUAGAAAUAAAGAGACAAGAGAAAUGCUUCUUCUUUUUUUUUUUUUUUUUUAAUUCUUCUCGGCAGUGGGGAGAUUUAGAAAGUCUAUAAAAAUGUUUCCUCUCAGCACUGCUGGUGAUUUUGCUCCCACUCAAAGCAUAAAAGGAACAGAGACCUCCAAAAAUCUUUGAGUUGCUUAAACUCUCUGAAAUGAUAGAAGCUAAUAUAUUUAAAAAGAUGGGUGAAAGAGAACAUCCACUGAACUCAACCAAGUUCGAGAUGUACCAAAGAUCUCUUGACUUCAUAAGCCAAUGGGGAUUCUCUCUCUCUCUCUCUCUCUCUCUCUCUCUCUCUCUCUCUCUCUCUCUCUCUCUCUUUUCCUACCUUGUGGGGAUUUUGUAGAGAUAAAGCAGAGGCCAUACAAGGACUCCAUUAACCAGGACCCCACAAUGGAUUCUGAAUUGAACCAGCCUACUCUCCAGAGGUGGAGGAAGAGAAUGGCCAGUGACUUCAAAUGAUGUCAGCAACGAGAGAAGGAAAGACCCUCCCUGGGGAAAUGCAGAAAAUUCUUCAAGAAAAAGAAAAAAAAAGCAAGAAUUGUUUUGUUUUUCCUCAUUAGCUUCCUAAUACCCAGCAUCCUCCAUGAAAGAUCUAUCUUCCAAGGUUAGGAAAUCAAAUGACACUGGCUCAUUGGAGGCCCAGAGAUAACGAUUAUAUGGCUGCUGGGAAGGGGGAGUGGUCUUUCAUUGAGACUUGUGUGCAUCAGGUCACAAUUAGCUUGCAAACCAAGAAGUAUGCUUGGUUGCUUGGAUAAGGGUUUGAAAUAUUCUCCAAGGCUUGAAAGAAGUAUUUUCUAAGAAGUAAUUAGAAUUGGUUGAAAUACAGGGCUAUAAAUGGGGGACUGGCACAAUUUUACAAGAAACAGAUCAUAACUCAACAUUCUAAUGACUUUUGCUUUAGAGAAGGUCAGCAAAGCUAUUAACAAGGGAAGUGGGCAUGCAAAGUUCUCCAUCCCAGACUGUGACUGAACUUUGAACAAAGUUCCUCCAUCAGGAUUUUGACUCUAAAUAUCUGAGCUGCUGCCUUUGCUCAGGACCAAGUGCUGAGAGGGGCUAAAUGGGUGGCCGGGCUUCUGACUACCAUUUUGCAUGUCUCUAGCCCUCUUCCCCCAAAGAGAUAAGAAUAAAGAUGCUGACAAGUUCAUUUUUUCAGGCACUAUAGCCAAAAAUACCAUGGAUUAUUACAAAUAUUAAAGUCCUCCAGACCCAAGUAGAAUUUCCCACACAUUAAAAAAAGGAGAGGAGGCUUAACAGCAGUCCCUCUGUCACCCUGUCCUCUUCCCUGAGAUACAGGCAAACACGCCAACAUGAGUCACAUGGCCACAGAGGGAUUUCAAAGGGGGACCAGUCUCCCGUGCUUCAAUUUGGAAACAUAGCCUGGAUAAUUUCAAAAUGAACUCACUUGCCCCACAGCUGCUGUGUGUUACUUGCGUACACAUCAAAUAUACUCUCAUUAGCUUUAAACUAAGGUUAGGGAAUGUGUCUGUUUAUUUUGUCUUUCUGCUCCCCAUCCUUUAGUACUCAAAACAGUGCCUGAAAUCGCAACACAUAUUUAUUAAAUUAAAAAUAAGAAUUAUAAACUGGGAGUUUUCAGAGGAGCUUCAGAGCAGCUUUGAGUUCUUCCCAAUUACCCUAAUCUUUCCCAGUGACCCAGGAAUUUGGAGGGUGGGCGGAGGGAGCAGUAUUCCCUUCCUAUAUCCUUCUUGCUUUCUUUAAAAACCCAGCACCCAUCUUACUCUUUUUGUUCCUCUGGGGGUUCACCACUGACUCAAGAUGAACUUGACCCUAGGCCUCUCCUUUUACAAGGCCAGGACCAAAUUAAUCACUAGAGUCAGUGUCAAUUAAACUACAUGUCUAGCUAUAUAGCUCUCCCCAGGUGGCCUCACUGAAUUAAAACAUUUGACCACUAGACUCCAGCCAGAAUCAAAGUAUUGUCUAGUCAAAAUUAUGAGGAACAAGAGGGAAAUACAUCUUUGGACCAUCAUACCUUCCUCCCUUGCAGAUUAUCUAUCACUCCCUCAAUCAUAAUGAUUUCUGAUGGACUAUAUUUAUAUGUUUUAUAAAACAUAAAUACAUAUGUGUUUAUAUACAUAUGUAUAUAAAUUAUACAUAAAAUAUAAGCAUAUAAAUUUACAAUUUCCCUGUGUAUGAUUAUAUAUGUCCUACAAUUAUAUAUGUCCAAAAUUUCCUUUGCUUCUAACACUAAACAGUGUCACUUCUAUGUUGAACUUAACUCUUGUUGCUCUCAACUCUUAAAAAAUUGGAGAAUUAACAGAUGGGAUCCUUUAACCCAACUUCCCUAUAUCUGUGAUGUCAUUAGCCUUGGAGUCUGAGUUCCUGGGCCUAUUUCUGUCCUUGCUUCAGCUCACCUGAAGUCUGUUUAUUUUCUGAUUCCUGUGAACUCUAGGCUUUCUUCUGUGGAACCAAGGUAACAAUAUGUUGCCUUAAUUACUCUUCAAAGAUGUUUAUUGUGAAAGGAUACCAGAAUAGCUUUUCCAGCCCUCCUCCUGUGAAGAAUUCUAAAGGUUAAGGCCUCCAGUAAACUGUGAUUAGAAAAAAAAUCAACGAAGUAACUGUAUAAUCACUGCUAUAUUUAGCAGGCUAGUGAUUUCCAGAGAAACCUGGCAUUUCUGCCCUGCAGCCUCCUUCAACCCCUCAGGAAGUCUUCCGGCCAGAAUCUGUGACGCUCUCCUAGCCCAGCACCUGGAGCAGGGCUACAGGCCUGAAAUAGCUCAAAAUACCUUAGCAUCUCAUAUAACAAAAGGGAGUCCAUCUCCAAAAGAAAAGAAAGAAAGGGAAAUGGCUUACCAUAAAAUGGUUGGGUGAGGUAGUGCUGGUUCAUAAAACAAAACUAUUGUAUAAAAUUCCAGUGAGUUUUUUUGUUCUCUUAGGUUCUUAUAAGGUAGAACCCAAUUUCUUUUUUUCUUUUCUUUUUCUUUUUUUUUAGUAAUCUCUACCCCCAGCAUGGAGCUAGAACUAACAACCCAAAGAUCAGGAGUCACAUGUUGUACCAACUGAGCCAACCAGGUGCCCAAACAGCCUCCUUUUUUAAAUCGCUCAAGACCCUAUAGUAACUGGCCUAGUAUAGUUGUAUUCAGGGACUAAUGUCUCCUUCAGACUCUGGGAUUCCCUUUUUGUGGUUGUACUACCCUCCAUGAAACUAUUUCUCUUUUCCCUUCUAGUAUUGCUUUGUGCUCUUCCUCUUCCAUUAAAAAAAAAAAAAAA
rnacentral:lncRNA from 1 species